rnacentral:tRNA from 1 species
AGAAACUUAGGCUAAUUUAGACCUUGGGCCUUCAAAGCCCCCAGUAGAAGUUAAACUCUUCUAGUUUCUG